GUAUUAGCAAACCCCUUAUUUUAAGGAGUUAACUCAUUUUAAUCCCUCUAGAGGGGUUAGCUUAACCUUUAUAUAUUUUUUAUGUUUAGCAAAUUAUGGAGGGUUAACUCACUUUAACAUUUGUAUAAUUUUUUUGUGUUUCACUUGUUAAGAAUGUGUUAAGUCCCCUUAACCCCUCACUUAACCCUUUGCCAAACAGUACCUAUAAGUAAAAACAUAAUUAUAAGUUAAAAGUAAGUAACUUGCCAAACAUGCUCUUUUAAUUCCUCACUUUUGUUAAAAAAAAUGUACGGUAUUAAAGAAUCAACUGUGUGUAGAACCUGCCUUGUUUGCUGGUGAGUGAUCGAUUAGAAGUGUUACCAACUUUUUGAUAUUUAAGUUUCAUGUAUAAUGUCGUCACGGACUAUCCUGUGCAUACUGUGUUACAUGAAAACAUUGAAGGAGGGAGGAAAUAUUUGUUGUUUUAAGCUGAUCGUCUCUUUUAUCUUGAGGGAAGCCUACGAAUUCAGGAGUUUCUUUUUUAUUCUUCAUUUCGGAUUUUUCUCUCCUCUUCAUGACAGUUGUUGUCUAAUACAUUAUACAUCAAAACUGUCUUAGACAGAAUUUUCAGAGUAUUGGUUGCUGCGAUCUUGUAGUCUAUUAGCCGGUGCGAAUCGUUAAGACUGUGUAGUCUUUUGCUUGGAAUUAUGAUGGAAACGGUUAUGAUACUUGUAUGUCCAUUACACAACAACAAGUACUGCUAGAAAAUUUAAAAAUUUACAUUGGACUGAAGAGUAUGCAGCAUUACCAGAUGAAAUGCACCCUGCUUCGCUGCUUAAAAUCUUGGAUCGUUCGGAUGAAGCUUCAACAAGGCUCUUCAGCAUUUUAAACCUCUUCUUGCUAUAGUGCAGCUCAAAUUCCUUGAGCGAGACCAAGGUUUUCAAUUCCCAAAUUAGGAUCUUCUCCUUGAGAGAACACGGGUAUAUUCAAUUUCUCAACUUUAGGCAUGGCUACUUUUUCAAACCUAAAGGACUUUGAACUCCUUAGAUACAGAUGCAAUACUUUGAGAUUUUGGAA